GCGUGAGUGAAGAAGGUUUUCGGAUCGUAAAACUCUGUUUUCAGGGACGAAUGUGCCGAUUGUAAAUAAUGGUUGGUAAUGACGGUACCUGACAAGAAAGCCACGGCUAACUACGUGCCAGCAGCCGCGGUAAUACGUAGGUGGCAAGCGUUGUCCGGAAUUAUUGGGCGUAAAGCGCGCGCAGGUGGGAUAAUCAGUCUGAUGUUAAAGUUCGGGGCUUAACCCCGUGAAGCAUUGGAUACUGUUAUUCUUGAGUGCAGGAGAGGAAAGUGGAAUUCCUAGUGUAGCGGUGAAAUGCGUAGAUAUUAGGAGGAACACCAGUGGCGAAGGCGACUUUCUGGACUGUGUCUGACACUGAGGCGCGAAAGCCAGGGUAGUGAACGGGAUUAGAUACCCCGGUAAUCCUGGCCGUAAACGGUGGGUACUAGGUGUUGGGGGUAUCGACCCCUCCAGUGCCGGAGUUAACGCAAUAAGUACCCCCCCUGGGGAGUACGGCCGCAAGGUU
rnacentral:rRNA from 1 species